CUUCCCUUUUUCUUCCUCUUUGGACCCCCCAGUCUCCGAAAAUCCCUUUGAUCGCUACUUCAAAACCAAACAUUCAAAGGGAUCUGGAGGGAAGGAGGCCAGCAGAGGCAGCUCCUCCUCCUCCUCUGCCAACAAUCCCUAAUUACAGCGUAUCAAAGUCAGUUCAAAGGGCCAGAAAGAGAGGCGGAUGUAGGUAUCAAAGGCACCUGUUGGUAAUCACCUGUAUUUCCUGGUCUUUGUAAUCCCUUGCAAAAGUGGUUUUGUUCCGAGAUCUGCUUUCACAGCUGACAGAUGAUUCACUUGACCACAGUGGGGUGGGAAGGAAGAGGAGACCGGGCAACACGGAGCGUUUUCAGCUUUCGGCAGCUGCCCAGGAACACCUGCUGCAGCCACCGGGGUCCCACUUUGAAGGAAGCGCUCCUUCCCUCGGCCACUAAUGCUGCUAUUGUUUUCAAGAAUUAGGAAGACGCUUCCUGGACCUUUCAGGGCUUAAUACCAGCCAAAUCCGAGGUCAAGAUAGGAUGGGAUGUCUGGAGUUUGUCUUCUGAGAAGAGAAAGCCUUUGAGCGCUAAUUGGUAUCUGGCGAACCCCAAACCACCUUCCAUGACUUCUUUUCCUCAUGAACAUUUUAAAUAGAGAAGCACCCAGCAGGACCUCCCCUCCGCCUCUCUCACCUCCUGCGGAAGACGAAGUACUUCUUGCUCACGAAACGCUGCAACCGCUCGGCCAGGGUGGCGUUGCGCCUCCUUUGCCGCUC